rnacentral:rRNA from 1 species
AUUGAACGCUGGCGGCAGGCCUAACACAUGCAAGUCGAGCGGGGUUUUCGGACCUAGCGGCGGACGGGUGAGUAAUGCGUAGGAAGCUGCCCGAUAGAGGGGGAUACCAGUUGGAAACGACUGUUAAUACCGCAUAAUGUCUACGGACCAAAGUGUGGGACCUUCGGGCCACAUGCUAUCGGAUGCGCCUACGUGGGAUUAGCUAGUUGGUGAGGUAAUGGCUCACCAAGGCGACGAUCUCUAGCUGGUUUGAGAGGAUGAUCAGCCACACUGGAACUGAGACACGGUCCAGACUCCUACGGGAGGCAGCAGUGGGGAAUAUUGGACAAUGGGCGCAAGCCUGAUCCAGCCAUGCCGCGUGUGUGAAGAAGGCCUUCGGGUUGUAAAGCACUUUCAGCGAGGAGGAAGGGUGGUGUGUUAAUAGCACAUCAUUUUGACGUUACUCGCAGAAGAAGCACCGGCUAACUCUGUGCCAGCAGCCGCCGUAA